UACAGAGGUCUCAAGCGUUGUUCGGAUUCAUUGGGCGUAAAGGGUGCGUAGGUGGCCCGGUCAGUUCGUGGUGAAAGCGCGGGGCUCAACCCUGCGUCGGCCAUGAAUACUGCCGCGGCUGGAGCACUGUAGAGGCAGGCGGAAUUCCGGGUGUAGCGGUGGAAUGCGUAGAGAUCCGGAAGAACACCGGUGGCGAAGGCGGCCUGCUGGGCA
rnacentral:rRNA from 1 species